CGAAGAUGAGAAAGUCAAGUAUAGGGAAUCCAUGUUCACAAAGGAGCCAGACUUUGUAUCUAGGCCAUUUGAUUCCACCAACUUCCCUGUCUGCUACCACCAUGAUGUUGACUCAAGAAUGGAAACCACAUCUCUGGGUGUGUCUAUGAGGAUGUUUACAGAAGAAAAUUAACCGGAGAGGAAAGAUACAUCCUGAACGUAGGAGGCAUCGUUCCAUGAACUGGGAUCCUAGACCGAAAAACAAAAGUGGACACAGCACCAGCAUCCAUCCCUCUCUGCUUCCAGACUGUGGGAGUGAUGUGACCAGCUGCCUCACACUCCUGACACAACGCCUUUCCACCACGAUGGCCUGGACCUUCAACUCAGAGCCGAAAUAAACCCCUUUACCUUCA